UACAGAGGUCUCAAGCGUUGUUCGGAUUCAUUGGGCGUAAAGGGUGCGUAGGCGGCGAGGUAAGUCGGAUGUGAAAUCCCGGGGCUCAACCCCCGGAACUGCAUUCGAUACUGCUUUGCUUGAGUACUGGAGAGGAGACUGGAAUUUACGGUGUAGCAGUGAAAUGCGUAGAUAUCGUAAGGAAGACCAGUGGCGAAGGCGAGUCUCUGGACAGUUACUGACGCUGAGGCACGAAGGCCAGGGGAGCAAACGGG
rnacentral:rRNA from 1 species